rnacentral:lncRNA from 1 species
UUCAUCCUCAGAGUCGAGGUCUUUCUUAGACUGGAUUACAUGGUACUCAAAGUCAGACCUGAAAAUAAAAAAUAAGAUUCUGUUAUGUUCAGUCGAACGAGAUUUCACAGUUGUACUUGUACCUCUCUCCAGCGAGGGUUAUAAAUUUUAAGUUAAAGUUAAUACCAAUACGCACUUAACUCGCAUAAAACUGCUACUUAGAAGGAUACUUAUCGGUAAAUUUAAUCGAGAACAAACAUCACUCAACACCAUAUUCAGAAUAGUUUAUAGCUAAAUAAAAUAUUACAAACUUACGAACAUUGUUUCAAGGUGAAUUUCUCCGUGUACGUAAAACUCGCACUGUAACACUUGCACUUGUUAGAAAAUAGUAGAGGAAAUGAAUAAGCCAGGGGUUUUAUUAAUAAAACGAAACUGACGUAAAGUCAUGAGUUAACAACCUAAAAGCAAAUUAUAACUAACAUAAACUACAACAUUUGCAAAAAUACAGUAAGAAACCAAUAUAAUACAAAGGUUGAUCAUCACUGUAAUAUAAUAUUCAACUCAGCUAAUUAUUGAAAAACAAAAGUGUAAUAUUUCUUUUGUCGGAAACAAGAACGAAUGUCGCCGCGUUAAGACCGCGUUCAAUGUGCAAGCUAUAAUAGCUAAUAGCUAUACUAUAUUUUGUUACUACGAAGUUAUAAAUAGAGCAUUUAACAAAUUAAAAUUACAACAGUUCGAGAUUUCAAGCCGGGUGCAUUAUCAGUUUCAAAAUCAGAAUGGGCUCGCAACCUAUUAACCACGCUGCUGAAAUGACUGAAACCACACCAUUUUAUUCGCAAGUUUGUGAAAAACCGAAUGAUCCGCUCAAUUAUUCUCAAGACAUGGAUGCGUACCUGAAAUACCAGGAUUUGCUCCUGAAUCCAUCUUUAGAAAUUCCAUUAUCAGGUACACCAGCAAAAAGUCAGAAGAAAAUCGCUAAGAAAGGAAAGAGGAAAAUAAAAGAAAUGGGUUUAAAUUCCCAUGUCAUCAGAAAGGUUACAAAAGGAAAGCGUCUGAUUAAAAUCAGUAUAUCCGAUUUGGAGCAAUCAAAUAUCGAAUCUAAUGGGGUUACAGUACAAUAUGUUGUUCAAGAUGACUAUGAUGAGUUAUUAAAUGCAACUGAAGGUCUGGUAGAAAAAAUUGUAAAAAAGUUGAGUGAAGUGAGUAAUUAUUAGAAAAUUUUAUGUUAUAAAAUGUACUUUACUUUUUAGUUAGUCGUCGUGCUUGUAAUAUAUCUCAUUACUUAAAUAAAAUGGUUUCAUGAUAAAUUAAUUGUUUUAUUUUUAACAUACUAAAACAUAGAGAAUAAAUACGAUAUUAUUUUUAGAGUUUUACCACUCACAAUAUAGUUGAAAUAUGUAUACUGAGAUCUAUUAUAUAUCAAAACCAUUUAUAAUUCAUGUAAAUCGUGAUCAUUUUAUAAGAUAAACAUAGCGAGUGAGCAACCAGGUAAACUGACUCAAAUUACAACUAAAUGAGUGAUUGCAAUUUCGCAUACUGUUCAAUGUAUGUCAUGAUUUUAAUAUAAUCAAAAUUUGAACCUUAUAUCUUUAUGAAAAGUUCUGCUUUGCAAAGUGCAGUAUAUGACAUACGCUAGCCUUUAAUUUAUACUGAACUCUUUGUUAUGGGUGUCAAAGAAGAUCAUAUUUUAUAUACGUUAUUUUAAACCAUAUAUUACAAAAUUCGUAGUAGAUAUGACGUGGGAGUACGUAAUCCGAAACAGCCAAUAGCAUAACUGGGUCUACAUCACACUUAUAAAGUUUUUACAAUGUUUCAUAUAAAUAAAAAUGGUGAUGUGUAGUAUGUCGGGUUGUGACGACCGACAACCUCAACACGUAAACCAUUCCUUGGCUUGGCCAACCGAGGCAUGUAGUGUUGAAUUCGAGACUUGGGGAUCUCUGUAUUUACGCGGUCGAUAGAUAUGGAAUCCCAUACCCGGAGGGGGUCAAACUCAAUCGAUGCAUGUAAAACGCGACUACACCAGAGUUCACACUUUGGGGGUCCAUUCGUGUUCUGCGACGCUGACGAGCUGAUCAGAUACGUUGUGUGUAAACGCCACUGUCAAUCGAGCAAACGCUUGAGAGAGACCACAUCUGAGAUUGGCCACCUCGGAGAGUGUGUUGCGUUAAGCUUUU